rnacentral:ncRNA from 1 species
AGAAUGUCGGGAGAGUGGCAUAAAAGCACACCGAAGGGGCAAAACUCUCAGGUAAAAGGACCGG